CUCAACCUCUGCUGGGCUGCCCUUCGCCCUGCGGCCCAGACGAGUUCUGUGAUUUUCAGAAGGACCCGCCUCAGUGUGAGAAGUGCACCAUGUGUCCGCCUGGCUUCUUCCUCAUCUCACAGUGCUCGUCCACCGCAGACCGCAUGUGCCAGGACAGAGACGAAUGCCUUGAACUACCAAACAUUUGUGGGGAGCGAGUGAAGUGCCUGAACACCCCAGGAGGCUUCAGGUGUCUGGGGGUGUCUGAGAGGGAAGUGGAGAUGGGCAUGUGCGGCCACGACUACUUCUUCAACCC